rnacentral:lncRNA from 1 species
AUUAAUUAACAUAUAUAUAUAUAUAUAUAUAUAUCUAUUAGCUACUUAUAAUUAACAACAACUUCAUAUAUAUUAUCAAAUCAUCAACCAAAUACGAUCAACACACAUAUAUAUAUAUAUAUACAUCAAACGUAUACUCAAAAUCUAUCAAUUUAAUCACACUCAAAAUCGAUCAAUAACUCAAAUAAAACUCAAAAUCAACAUAUAUACACAUGUACGUACCUAUAUAUAGCUCCACUUCUUAAUAAUGGACAGAUUUCAACAACACCCAAACUUUUUCUCCCAUUUUUUCUUCUCCCGUUUUCUUUUCUCAGAUGAGCUGCUGUCCAGAUCUGCGAAUAUAAAGAACUUUAGCCGACGAAAUUAUAUUUUCGUCGGCUAUAGUCAACUUUAGCCGACGAAAUUAAAAUUUCGUCGGCUAAAGAAAGUUUAAAGUCGUCGGCUAAAGUCACAGACUUUAGACCGACGAAAAAAAAUUCUUUAGCCGACGAAAUUUUAAUUUCGUCGGCUAAAGUUGACUAUAGCCGACGAAAAUAUAAUUUAGCCGACGAAGGAAAAUUUCGUCGUCUAAAGUGUACUUUAGCCGACGAAAAAUUGUUUCGUCGGCCUGUUUUUUUUUUUCGUCGGCUAAAGUCUUUCUUCUGGUAGUGUACUUGAACCAUUUAGAAGGAUUGAAAGAAGCUACGAAAAGCUGCAAUCCCGAGAGUGCAUAAAAAUUUCCGCGCAGAAUGACCUUUGCGCACUAAAACAGCCAUAACUUCUUCGUUAAAAUAGAUAUGGACGAACCGUGAAAAGUUCUGAAAACUAGACUCAUAGAGCUUUCCAAUGAUAUAAAGCUCACUGUCUGGUUUGUCCGGAGCUGUUCACAAAGCUCAAACGAAGUUGACUGUCCAGAAGGGACAGAUUGCUGUUUUUCGCAGAUUUGGCAUGUGCGAAGCUGUGAAGCUUGCAGGUGGCGUGUAGGCUUUUGCCUUAGCCAAAAGUGACGUGUGUAUGAUCAAAACCAAGUCCUUUCGGUCGUUCUAAGGUCGUAAACUCCAUGACUAGUUAACAAAAGCUCCUUGACAUGAACAUAAACUAACUCAGAGGACCUAGAGGAUCCGAUCAUGAUGAUAAUUUUCCAGCUUUGAUAAGUCUUCAACGUCUUUUGCAAGACGGCAAUUGGUUUAAUAGCGUAGGGGGAUCCGAAAAUCAAAGCUUCGGUAACUCCAAGUCUGU